rnacentral:rRNA from 1 species
UACGUAGGGGGCUAGCGUUGUCCGGAUUUAUUGGGCGUAAAGAGCGUGUAGGCGGCCAGGUAGGUCUGGUGUGAAAACUCGAGGCUCAACCUCGAGACGCCGGUGGAAACCAUCAGACUAGAGUCCGGAAGAGGAGAGUGGAAUUCCUGGUGUAGCGGUGAAAUGCGCAGAUAUCAGGAAGAACACCCGUGGCUAAGGCGGCUCUCUAGUACGGUACUGACGCUGAGACGCGAAAGCGUGGGGAGCGAACAGG